rnacentral:rRNA from 1 species
CAGUAGCCGCGGUAAUACGUAGGGUGCAAGCGUUAAUCGGAAUUACUGGGCGUAAAGCGUGCGCAGGCGGUUAUAUAAGACAGUCGUGAAAUCCCCGGGCUCAACCUGGGAACUGCGAUUGUGACUGUAUGGCUAGAGUGUGUCAGAGGGGGGUAGAAUUCCACGUGUAGCAGUGAAAUGCGUAGAUAUGUGGAGGAAUACCGAUGGCGAAGGCAGCCCCCUGGGAUAACACUGACGCUCAUGCACGAAAGCGUGGGGAGCAAACAGGAUUAGAUACCCCCGUAGUCCCUGUCUCUUAUAC